rnacentral:lncRNA from 1 species
ACUUACAUCAAGAUUAACAAUAAGGGCUGUAAAGUUAUCGUGGAUAGUGACAGCUGUAUUAAUGGCGUUUCGAUGGCUAUUGUAUCCUGCCUAGGGUUGUAGUCUAUCCCUCACCCUCAGCCAUACAGCGUCUCUUAGGUUGAUACCUCCUCCAUAGCUGUCAAGGAGCGUUGUUUAGUCCCUAUCCAAUUUUUCGAGUAUAAGGACCAUAUAUGGUGUGACGUCAUUUCAAUGGACGUCGGGCACAUCAUCUUGGGACGACCUUGGUUAUUUGACCUAGAUGUAACCAUCUAUGGUCGAUCCAAUUCCUGCU